GAGAAUACAUUGUGUGGUCCUUUCAAUUGCUCUGCUACCUGUGAUAUAAGUGGUAGUUACCUGCUAGAGGUACAGAAAAUACUAAACAAAAUUACUAGUUGUUUCUUGAUUUGCGCUUGUAAUUUCGUAAAAAUAAAUGUCAACUCUUCAUCUGUGGUUAUCAGCGAAAUAUCGAUUGCCCAAUCCUUAGCACCCGCCACUUGCUUUAUAAAUAAUUGUGAGACUGUGCAAACGAGCGAAUUUAGCAAUUGGCA